AACCAUAGAAACCUGCGGAGUACCUGCGGAGGGAUCAUUAUAGUAUAUGGAAUCUCCAUUCUAUAAACCCACUCUGCGUAUCUUGUAACUGUUGCUUCCAUGGGACUUGGUUCCGCACACCGGCUUCACGGCUGGUGAGCGCCCAUGGAAGGAGAAACAAAACUCUUCUUUGAAAUGUAGUCAGUCUGAACAAGUUUUUAUAAACGUUAAAACUUUCAACAACGGAUCUCAGAUCGGAAG
rnacentral:misc_RNA from 1 species